UACGUAGGGUGCAAGCGUUGUCCGGAAUUACUGGGUUUAAAGGGUGCGUAGGCGGCUGUGUAAGUCAGGUGUGAAAGUUUGCGGCUCAACCGUAAAAUUGCUUUUGAUACUGCAUGGCUAGAAUCAGGAUGAGGUUAGCGGAAUGUGGCAUGUAGCGGUGAAAUGCAUAGAUAUGCCAUAGAACACCAAUUGCGAAGGCAGCUGGCUAGACCUGUAUUGACGCUGAGGCACGAAAGCGUGGGGAGCGAACAGG
rnacentral:rRNA from 1 species